rnacentral:rRNA from 1 species
UACAGAGGGUGCGAGCGUUGUUCGGAAUUAUUGGGCGUAAAGGGCGCGUAGGCGGUGCGGUAAGUCACCUGUGAAAUCUCCUGGCUCAACUGGGAGUCUGCAGGCGAAACUGCCGUGCUGGAGUAUGGGAGAGGUGCGUGGAAUUCCUGGUGUAGCGGUGAAAUGCGUAGAUAUCGGGAGGAACACCAGUGGCGAAGGCGGUUGCCUGGGGCUUUGCUGACGCUGAUGCGCGAAAGCGUGGGGAGCGAUCCGG